GUGAAUAUUCCGUUGCAUGUGUCGCGAGCGCGCUUGAAUGGCAUUCAAGAGGUCAGGGGUUCGAUCCCCCUUAUCUCCACCA
rnacentral:tRNA from 1 species